rnacentral:rRNA from 1 species
CAGCACGCGGUAAUACGUAGGGUGCGAGCGUUAAUCGGAAUUACUGGGCGUAAAGCGUGCGCAGGCGGUUCGUUAAGACAGAUGUGAAAUCCCCGGGCUUAACCUGGGAACUGCAUUUGUGACUGGCGAGCUAGAGUAUGGCAGAGGGGGGUAGAAUUCCACGUGUAGCAGUGAAAUGCGUAGAGAUGUGGAGGAAUACCGAUGGCGAAGGCAGCCCCCUGGGCCAAUACUGACGCUCAUGCACGAAAGCGUGGGGAGCAAACAGGAUUAGAUACCCCGGUAGUCCCUGUCUCUUAUACAC